rnacentral:tRNA from 1 species
GCUGCAUUGGUCAAGUGGUAAGACGACUGACUUUCUAUCAGUAAUCAGGAGUUCGAUUCUCCUAUGCAGUA